rnacentral:rRNA from 1 species
GGUUAAGCGACUAAGCGUACACGGUGGAUGCCCUGGCAGUCAGAGGCGAUGAAGGACGUGCUAAUCUGCGAUAAGCGUCGGUAAGGUGAUAUGAACCGUUAUAACCGGCGAUUUCCGAAUGGGGAAACCCAGUGUGAUUCGUCACACUAUCAUUAACUGAAUCCAUAGGUUAAUGAGGCGAACCGGGGGAACUGAAACAUCUAAGUACCCCGAGGAAAAGAAAUCAACCGAGAUUCCCCCAGUAGCGGCGAGCGAACGGGGAGCAGCCCAGAGCCUGAAUCAGUGUGUGUGUUAGUGGAAGCGUCUGGAAAGGCGCGCGAUACAGGGUGACAGCCCCGUACACAAAAAUGCACAUGCUGUGAGCUCGAUGAGUAGGGCGGGACACGUGGUAUCCUGUCUGAAUAUGGGGGGACCAUCCUCCAAGGCUAAAUACUCCUGACUGACCGAUAGUGAACCAGUACCGUGAGGGAAAGGCGAAAAGAACCCCGGCGAGGGGAGUGAAAAAGAACCUGAAACCGUGUACGUACAAGCAGUGGGAGCACGCUUAGGCGUGUGACUGCGUACCUUUUGUAUAAUGGGUCAGCGACUUAUAUUCUGUAGCAAGGUUAACCGAAUAGGGGAGCCGAAGGGAAACCGAGUCUUAACUGGGCGUUAAGUUGCAGGGUAUAGACCCGAAACCCGGUGAUCUAGCCAUGGGCAGGUUGAAGGUUGGGUAACACUAACUGGAGGACCGAACCGACUAAUGUUGAAAAAUUAGCGGAUGACUUGUGGCUGGGGGUGAAAGGCCAAUCAAACCGGGAGAUAGCUGGUUCUCCCCGAAAGCUAUUUAGGUAGCGCCUCGUGAAUUCAUCUCCGGGGGUAGAGCACUGUUUCGGCAAGGGGGUCAUCCCGACUUACCAACCCGAUGCAAACUGCGAAUACCGGAGAAUGUUAUCACGGGAGACACACGGCGGGUGCUAACGUCCGUCGUGAAGAGGGAAACAACCCAGACCGCCAGCUAAGGUCCCAAAGUCAUGGUUAAGUGGGAAACGAUGUGGGAAGGCCCAGACAGCCAGGAUGUUGGCUUAGAAGCAGCCAUCAUUUAAAGAAAGCGUAAUAGCUCACUGGUCGAGUCGGCCUGCGCGGAAGAUGUAACGGGGCUAAACCAUGCACCGAAGCUGCGGCAGCGACGCUGAUGCGUUGUUGGGUAGGGGAGCGUUCUGUAAGCCUGCGAAGGUGUGCUGUGAGGCAUGCUGGAGGUAUCAGAAGUGCGAAUGCUGACAUAAGUAACGAUAAAGCGGGUGAAAAGCCCGCUCGCCGGAAGACCAAGGGUUCCUGUCCAACGUUAAUCGGGGCAGGGUGAGUCGACCCCUAAGGCGAGGCCGAAAGGCGUAGUCGAUGGGAAACAGGUUAAUAUUCCUGUACUUGGUGUUACUGCGAAGGGGGGACGGAGAAGGCUAUGUUGGCCGGGCGACGGUUGUCCCGGUUUAAGCGUGUAGGCUGGUUUUCCAGGCAAAUCCGGAAAAUCAAGGCUGAGGCGUGAUGACGAGGCACUACGGUGCUGAAGCAACAAAUGCCCUGCUUCCAGGAAAAGCCUCUAAGCAUCAGGUAACAUCAAAUCGUACCCCAAACCGACACAGGUGGUCAGGUAGAGAAUACCAAGGCGCUUGAGAGAACUCGGGUGAAGGAACUAGGCAAAAUGGUGCCGUAACUUCGGGAGAAGGCACGCUGAUAUGUAGGUGAAGUCCCUCGCGGAUGGAGCUGAAAUCAGUCGAAGAUACCAGCUGGCUGCAACUGUUUAUUAAAAACACAGCACUGUGCAAACACGAAAGUGGACGUAUACGGUGUGACGCCUGCCCGGUGCCGGAAGGUUAAUUGAUGGGGUCAGCGCAAGCGAAGCUCUUGAUCGAAGCCCCGGUAAACGGCGGCCGUAACUAUAACGGUCCUAAGGUAGCGAAAUUCCUUGUCGGGUAAGUUCCGACCUGCACGAAUGGCGUAAUGAUGGCCAGGCUGUCUCCACCCGAGACUCAGUGAAAUUGAACUCGCUGUGAAGAUGCAGUGUACCCGCGGCAAGACGGAAAGACCCCGUGAACCUUUACUAUAGCUUGACACUGAACAUUGAGCCUUGAUGUGUAGGAUAGGUGGGAGGCUUUGAAGUGUGGACGCCAGUCUGCAUGGAGCCGACCUUGAAAUACCACCCUUUAAUGUUUGAUGUUCUAACGUGGACCCGUAAUCCGGGUUGCGGACAGUGUCUGGUGGGUAGUUUGACUGGGGCGGUCUCCUCCUAAAGAGUAACGGAGGAGCACGAAGGUUGGCUAAUCCUGGUCGGACAUCAGGAGGUUAGUGCAAUGGCAUAAGCCAGCUUGACUGCGAGCGUGACGGCGCGAGCAGGUGCGAAAGCAGGUCAUAGUGAUCCGGUGGUUCUGAAUGGAAGGGCCAUCGCUCAACGGAUAAAAGGUACUCCGGGGAUAACAGGCUGAUACCGCCCAAGAGUUCAUAUCGACGGCGGUGUUUGGCACCUCGAUGUCGGCUCAUCACAUCCUGGGGCUGAAGUAGGUCCCAAGGGUAUGGCUGUUCGCCAUUUAAAGUGGUACGCGAGCUGGGUUUAGAACGUCGUGAGACAGUUCGGUCCCUAUCUGCCGUGGGCGCUGGAGAAUUGAGGGGGGCUGCUCCUAGUACGAGAGGACCGGAGUGGACGCAUCACUGGUGUUCGGGUUGUCAUGCCAAUGGCACUGCCCGGUAGCUAAAUGCGGAAGAGAUAAGUGCUGAAAGCAUCUAAGCACGAAACUUGCCCCGAGAUGAGUUCUCCCUGACUCCUUGAGAGUCCUGAAGGAACGUUGAAGACGACGACGUUGAUAGGCCGGGUGUGUAAGCGCAGCGAUGCGUUGAGCUAACCGGUACUAAUGAACCGUGAGGCUUAACCUU